GUGACAGUUGCAGUUCUGGCCGAAAGACAUCAACUGACAUUAUCGGAGGCUUUAGAAAGGUUCAGAAGGGGUCCACAAUAUGAACCAUGUGAGAUGAAAAUGUUGGGAAACAGCAUGAUGAAAAACCUGUCGGAGGAGGGAAGAGUAAAGCUGAAAGCUUUUGAAAAAAAAAAAGAAAACAGCCCUCUCCCCUGAGGCAUUCCUCCAGAGACUUUAGAUUUUUCAUCCUACUGUUAUGGUUAUGGUCCUGCUCCUGCCCUACGCAUGUUUUUGGACCCUUGCUGCUUUUUCCCCUUCAUGGAUUUUCCCCCUUGGACUCUGUCUUUGGAUUACCUCAGUUUGUGUUUGUUGCUUCGUUUGAGUUCCUCUGUUGUGUGAUUACUUCUCCUCUGCUUUGUUGUAUCAAGCCGUGUAGCGCCACAGCAUUAGUUAAUUUGGUUUUUGCCCUGCUGCCCUAGUUCUAGUCGCUGUAGUUGUGUUUUUGGAGUUUUUGUUAAAUGAAACCCUUUUUCAUUACCACCUUUUGCCUGUCUGUUUGCCUGCGCUUGGGUUCUCCAACCCAAAACCUAACACCUACACACACUCGUACAUCACUACUUUGUUGUACUUUGUUUUACUCUAUAUUUUUAUCCAAAAAGGUUCAUUUGUUUAUUUGUCUUUUGGAUAUUAGAUUUCAUUUUUCAAAUUAGAAUGUUGACAGGAGCAUGUGCCAGUGGAUGCAAUGAGCUCUUAAUCAACUUUGUUUCUCAGCAGAGCAACACAUUGAAAAGGUGAUGAUUCACUUCAAUUGUCAUGGUUUUAAAGCUCUGGCUGACUAUCAUUCUUCAUCACUAAAUGAAUGUAGUUACCUGACUAUGAAAUUCAAAAGCAGUCUUGUGUAUGUUGUUGACUGUUCACAUCAUCCAACCAAAUAAAGUCUGACACAAAAUGUUA